AUUUUAAUCAAUUGCAGUACAUUUUUCUUUAUUCAAAGCAAACAAAGCCACAAAUUUGAAGAAAUAAUAUUCUAAAACAAAAUUUUUCGUUCUACAAAAAAAAAUUCUAACUUAAUUUCAUUUCAUCAUUCUUAUUUAAGUGCUAUACGCAGUUAAAGUUAUACAUUAAAUGUACUAAUUCAUACAUCAUGUAGUAUGACAAACACAGGAUUUAUAAGGCACUUCUAAAUUACUAAGUGGAGAAGAGGAGAUAAAAUGUGACGAAGAAAAAGCAAGAACAUUGAACAGAAACACACAAGGCAUGCCUAUAGGAAUUCGGAAGUGGUUGCCAAUGUUGAUAAAAGUUUAGUUAAGAUAUGAAGAAGCUACCGAGGGUGAGCUUUACUGCUGGUGCACUAAAAGCGAAUACCCCUGACUGCUAGCAAAACUGUUGUGUCCUUCAUUAUAUAUUGGCAUUAGUUCCGAAAUUCCACCCGUUUGUGUUAGAUUAAGUUUUACUGGCCGGCUGUCGCUCCAUACGGUGGUUUCACAAUGGGUCUCCCAAAGGCGUAGGUGCAUCGUCCAGCCAUCCACCCUACUUAUCUACAUAUGUUAUACAUUAUACAUGUAAUUACAGAAUGCAACUCUACAUCAAGAUAAAUAUAACAUAUAUAAAACAUGUAUUUGUUACUGAUAGACUAUGUGGAAAACAAGUGAUGUACACAUAAUUGCGAGGUGAACCGCAGCCAUAGCGCUAACAAGCGACAGAAAGCAAAACAGAGGAGGCCAUAACGAACGAGCUGCGUAGCGUUAACGAUUGUAAUGUGAACUAUGUUAGCAUAUGUAGUUACUACCUCGAAAACCGUUCGGGUACUUUAACCUGUAAUCAUGUAAAGAUAUAUAUGUAUAUAUAUAUAUAUAUAAAGAUUCAUAGCUACAUAAAUAUAUAAAUAUGUAUAGUACUUAUGCAAUAUAAUGUUAUUCUGGGUCUAGCUGUACAUUAUUUAUAUCAUUUAUAUAAUAUAUUGAAGUAUGUGUGAUCAUAUAUGAGCAUUGCGCUAAUAUGUUCCCAUAUUUAGUUACAUA